rnacentral:rRNA from 1 species
UCAAAUUAAUAAAAACGGCCUAAAGCGUGAUUAAAUUAUAUUAAAAUAAAUAGAAAUAAAAAUUAACUCGACUGUUAUACGUAUAUGUUAAACGGUGAAACCAAAAACGAAAGAUAUUCUAACAAAUAAAUUACUUGAACCCACGAAAGCUAAGAAACAAACUAGGAUUAGAUACCCUACUAUGCUUAGCCUUAAACUUUGGAACAACCCGCCUGAGUACUACGAGCCACAGCUUAAAACUCAAAGGACUUGGCGGUGCUCUACACCCCCCUAGAGGAGCCUGUUCUAUAAUUGAUACCCCCCGUUAAACCUCACCACUUAUUGCCAAUACCGCUUAUAUACCGCCGUCGUCAGCUCACCAUUUAAAUGAAAAAUAGUAGGCAUAAUGAUAAACAUAAAAACGUCAGGUCAAGGUGUAGCGAAUUAGGUGGAAAGAAAUGGGCUACAUUUUCUAAACUAGAAAAUACGAAAAAUUUUAUGAAAAACUAUUUAAAGGUGGAUUUAGCAGUAAAAAGAAAAUAGAGUGUUCUUUUUAAAUAGGCCAUAGAGCGCGCACACACCGCCCGUCACCCUCCUCUUCAAAGGU